AGGACCCUUUCUCCUAAAAAAAGAAAAAGAAAAAGAGGUGCCUUUCUCCAAUAAAAGGAGCGAACUCCCUCUCUCCUCUGCAACAAGAAGAAAAGCCCUUCCUCUCUUCCGCUCAAUCCUCAACUCUCUCUCUCUCUCUCUCUCUAUCAGUCUAUCUCACGCCUCCCUCUCUCUCGGAAUGACAGUGGAUUAAAGGAAGAACAUGAGGUAUUGGUCUCUCUCUUCCACUUAAUUUCGUCUCUCUCUCCUCAAAACCAGAAUUGUUGCUCUUUUUGCACAAAAGCUGGAGGAAGACGAAAAUGGAGGGUUAAAGUGGAACGGGGACUACUACCAAGCCUGCCAGCAUCCAAGUAAGCAAGCAUCAUAAACUCCCAAUAAAAAUGAUAAGUAUGCUUUUAUAAAUGACUUCUGUUAACAGUUGGGAGAUCUCGAUCCUUGUCUACAUAAAGGCACAUGCCAGGUUUUAUUUUAAUACCUAACUGUUGGUAUAUGCCAUGAUUAUGAUUAUAAUGCACAUGAAGUACCUUAAUGUUUGGUA